rnacentral:rRNA from 1 species
AUGUCAGAUGCAAAGCCCCGCACCUCAUUAAGAUCAUAUUGGCAUACUCUCCUAAAAAAAGAGCAGACCCCAUUGCAGAUGGGAGUGAGGUACAACAAGGCCAUUUCCGUCCACCUUCUCACGGAGCCGUACGUGGACGUUACUGCUCAUACAGCUCCCAGCCAGCAAGCAAUUAGCUUUCCUCUAGAAGUCAUGGAAGUGUGGAUAAAUCGACAUAAGGUUUUUAUUUCUUAA